AUGAGUUCUUGGGUGCAUGUAGUUUUAUUUAUUUAUUUAUUUAUUUUUUUUUUUUUUUAUUUUUUUUUUUUUUUUAUAUCUCCGUUUUUGUGUUAUUACGCCGUUAUUAUGUUGUACCUUUUUUUUUUUUUUUUUUUUUUUUUUUUUUUUUUUUUUUUUUUUUUUUCUCUUUUUUUUUUUUUUUUUUUUUUUUUUUUUUUUUUUUUUUUUUUUUUUUCCUUUACAGAUAUUCGAAUAAUGUCCGUGACGUCACAAGAAAACAUUGAAAUUGCAGAAUGCAUAAAAGAUUUGUAUGACCAAAAAAAAGUGAAAAAGGAUAAAAUAGACAGUACAUAUUAUGAAACAUUCAAUGAUAUCAUUAUGUAUUUAAAUAAUAAUAAAAAAGUCUUAACAGUUAAUAAUAUAUAUAAAUUAUUUAAAAAUAUUAUGAAAGGUAAUUUAACUAAUUUAAGCUUAUUAUUUUCAAUCGAAAUAAAUAACUACUUAGAAUAUUAUUGUGAAGAUUUUACUAUACAAGAAACACAAUUAGAAGAAUAUAUUUUUAAAAAUGAUGAAGAAAUUAAAGAAACUGAAAAAAAAAAAUAUAAAAUUGAUACUACAUUACAAUUUUUUAAUUCAGAUACAUUAUAUUCCCAAGAUGAAUAUAUAAAUAAUGGAAUAAUGGAAGAUGUUUCUUCUAAUUACAUAAGUAAUGAUAAUGAAUUAAAAAGUUUAUAUAAAUCGAUAAGUGAAAUAAAAAAGGGUCCUACUUAUGAUGUAAAAGAGGAGUUAGAAAAUCACUAUAAUAACACAGGUGUUAAUCGUAGCAAUCGUAACAAUAGUGAGGAUAUUUGGGACGACAUUAGUGACAUUUCUAGUGACAAUAGUAGUGACAUUUUUAGGGACACUAGUAGUAUCAGUAGUAGUAACAGUAGUAGUACCGGUAGUAGUAACAGUAGUAGUAACAGUAGUAGUACCGGUAGUAGUAACAGUAGUAAUAACAGUAGUAAUAACAGUAGUAAUAACAGUAGUAGUACCAGUAGUAGUACCAGUAGUAGUACCAGUAGUAGUGACAAUCAUGGUGGACCCUCAACUAAUAACAAAGUCGACCCGUCAUCUGCAUAUACACAUGUAAACACUUUUGAUACUGUAAAUGAACAUAAAAAAAAUAAGACGACAGGGAUCUCUUUUGAUUCGGAUACAUCUAAUACUCAAGCAUAUAACUAUGAAAAAAAUAAUAGUAAAACAUAUUCUAAUAACUAUAGUCGCCCCAAAAUUACUAAAGAGAGUUUAAAUGCUCCUUUACUAUAUAAUCCAAAUUUAGAAAAAACAAAUGAAAACAUAACAGAAGAAUUAGAUGCCUUUUUUAACAUUAAGAAACAUACGUUAAAUAGUUCAAAAAGGGAAAAAGAAAAUGAACGUAAAUCCGAAAAGGGAAAAAGUAACGAGCAAAAUGAUCAAACUAAAGAAGGAAAUGGUUACACUAAAGAAGGAAAUGGUUACACUAAAGAAGGAAAUGGUCAAACUAAAGAACAAAAUGGUCAAACUAAAGAACAAAAUGGUCAGAACAAUCAUAGUGACGAAUCUCAAUACGAAAACCUAAAUGGUGAUAUGUUUUAUCUAAAAAAAUAUAUGUAG
ensembl:lncRNA